rnacentral:lncRNA from 1 species
AAAAAUGCCUGAAAGAAUUCCAGGAAAAAACAAUCAAACAGUUGAAGGAAUUAAAAAUGGAAAUAGAAGCAAUCAAGAAAGAACACAUGGAAACAACCCUGGAUAUAGAAAAUCAAAAGAAGAGACAAGGAGCUGUAGAUAGAAGCCUCACCAACAGAAUACAAGAGAUGGAAGAGAGAAUCUCGGGAGCAGAAGAUUCCCUAGAAAUCAUUGACUCAACUGUCAAAGAUAAUGUAAAGCGGAAAAAGCUACUGGUCCAAAACAUACAGGAAAUCCAGGACUCAAUGAGAAGAUCAAACCUAAGGAUAAUAGGUAUAGAAGAGAGUGAAGACUCCCAGCUCAAAGGACCAGUAAAUAUCUUCAACAAAAUCAUAGAA